UUUCCGACCCAAGAGAUGCCCCCAACAAUUUGUACUACCGCCUGCUUAAACAGAUUCUUUGAGCGCCGAGCUCUGCGCAGCCUACCUCUUGGACGGCCCGUCGGUCCGUUUCUUCCUUCGUCAAGCUCACUUCCGAGCGGCAGUCUGCUAGAGAGGUGAACCCUUUCUGCUAGAGGGGUAACACUUUGCACCAUUGCUUGUUUCCUCCAGGAAAAUACGACUAGUUUUCUCUGCCGGUCGACGAUCACUGACGAUUAGUAGCUUCCCCUUUGGAUUUUGUGUGUGACUCCUUUUUUGUUCCCAGCGAGCACUGAGAUGAGAUUCCUGUGUGUCCCUCCCUUCCCCUAGUAGUCCUAGAAUGAUUUCAUCCCAUUUGGACUCCACGAUGUUGCUCCAGGCAGAAACGGGAGCUACUGAUCCACCUCCAACCACCACCAGACGGGGAUGGGUUCCCUCACAAGUUCUUCCUGGGUGACGAGCUUGUGUGGGAGCCCGAUAUGCUCCGGCCAAGACGCCACCUCAUGCGCUUUGAAGCAAAUGUUCGACUCCUCCACCUGCACCAACCAUCUGGUGGCCACCGGCAUCGCCGCGCUGCUCGUGCUCGCGCUCGCACUCCAGGUGCUUGUGAAAAUUCCGCACAGCAGAGCGUCUGCGCGGCAGCUCGUCACGCUCGGCUCACCGCUGCACCUCUCUGCCGUGGUGUUCACCGGCUGCUUGGGUUUGGUUUAUCUUGGGCUAGGACUCUGGAUGCUGGGGAGUGACUUCAGUCAGGAUGCCUCUGUUGUUCACCUUCCACAUUGGUGGCUUGUGACGUCAUCUCAGGGUCUGAAUCUGAUCCUUACCAGCUUGGCUUUCAGCAUCAGGCCUCGCUUUCUUGGCGCAGGAUUCGUCAGGUCUUGGCCGGUCUUGCUGACCGUCUAUGCAGCAUUCGUUUGUUGCUCUUCAGUUGUUGUUAUUGUUGCAGAGAAGAUGAUCACCGUCAAGGGCUGUUUGGAUGUUCUGUACUUUCCAGGUGCAGUGGUCCUCCUCAUUUAUGGCAUUCGGCACAGCCAUGACGAAGAGGGCUAUGGAGAAAGUGGCAAUGGUUUAUACAAGCCCCUCAACACGGACACAGACGGUGAGGCAGCUGAUUCUGAGGCUCAUCAGGUCACUCCCUUUGCUACUGCUGGUUUUUUCAGUGAGAUGUCGUUUUGGUGGUUGAAUCCUCUGAUGAAGAAGGGCUAUGAGAAUCCCCUUGAGGACAAAGACAUGCUUCUUUUAGGCGCCACAGAUCGAGCGCAAAACCAGUACUCGAUGCUCAUGGAGAAGCUGAAUUGCAGGAAGCAGUCGCCGGCGCACGCCACACCAUCAUUCUUCUGGACUAUUGUUUCUUGUCACAAGCGUGCCGUCGUGGUCUCGGGUUUCUUUGCUUUGCUCAAGGUUCUCACCUUAUCCACUGGCCCAGUAAUUCUCAAGGCAUUCAUCAAUGUAUCACUUGGGAAAGGGACCUUUAAAUACGAAAGCUAUGCGCUGGCUGCAUUAUUGUUCGUCUGCAAAUGCUGUGAAUCAUUGUCGGAGAGACAGUGGUAUUUCCGCACUCGGAGAUUAGGACUGCAGGUGAGGUCACUCCUGUCAGCAGCUAUUUAUAAGAAACAACAGAAGCUAUCAAACUCCGCAAAAAUGAAGCACUCUUCUGGACAAAUUAUGAACUAUGUGACCGUCGAUGCCUAUCGGAUUGGGGAAUUCCCAUAUUGGUUCCAUCAAACAUGGACAACAAUUGUUCAGCUUUGCAUUGCUCUGGCAAUUCUAUACAAUGCGGUUGGUGCUGCAAUGAUUUCAUCAUUGGUUGUCAUCAUUCUCACUGUACUCUGCAAUGCUCCACUGGCCAGAUUCCAACACAAAUUUCAGAGUAAACUUAUGGAAGCACAAGAUGUGAGAUUGAAGGCCAUGUCUGAGUCACUAGUUCAUAUGAAGGUCUUGAAACUUUAUGCAUGGGAAGGCCACUUCAAGAAGGUCAUCGAGGGGUUGAGGGAAGUUGAGUACAAGUGGUUGUCAGCAUUCCAGCUUUGGAGGGCAUACAACAGUUUCUUGUUCUGGGCUUCUCCUGCUUUGGUUUCUGUGGCAACCUUUGUAACAUGCUAUCUUUUGAAAAUCCCUCUUGAUGCUAGCAAUGUAUUCACCUUUGUGGCAACUCUACGUCUCGUGCAAGACCCAGUUAGGACGAUACCGGAUGUUAUUGCUGUUGUGAUACAAGCUAAGGUUGCUUUCACUCGGAUAUCAAAGUUCCUUGAUGCACCUGAGCUAAACGAGCAAGUUAGGAAGAAAUAUUAUGGUGGCAUUGAUUACCCUAUAGCGAUGAAUUCGUGUAGCUUCUCGUGGGAUGAGAAUACAUCAAAACAAACUCUAAAGAAUAUAAAUCUCGCAGUCAAAGCUGGAGAAAAGGUUGCAAUUUGUGGAGAGGUUGGAUCAGGAAAGUCGACACUUUUGGCGGCUGUACUCGGAGAGGUCCCCAAAACUGAAGGCACGAUCCAAGUCUGUGGGAAAAUAGCAUAUAUUUCUCAGAAUGCAUGGAUCCAAACAGGAACUGUGCAAGACAAUAUUCUCUUUGGAUCGUCGAUGGACAAGCAAAGAUACCACAACACACUUGCGAGGUGCUCAUUGGUCAAGGACCUUGAAUUGUUGCCAUAUGGAGAUUGUACUCAAAUUGGAGAGAGAGGAGUAAAUCUUAGUGGUGGUCAGAAGCAGCGCGUCCAGCUUGCUCGUGCACUAUACCAAAAUGCAGACAUCUAUCUUCUUGAUGACCCUUUCAGUGCUGUUGAUGCCCAUACAGCCACAAGUCUCUUCAAUGAAUAUGUCAUGAGUGCCCUAUCAGACAAGACCGUUCUUCUGGUGACUCACCAAGUGGAUUUUCUACCUGUAUUUGACUCCAUUUUGUUAAUGUCAGAUGGACAGGUUAUUCGGUCUGCACCUUAUCAAGAUCUAUUGGCAGAUUGUGAAGAAUUUAAAGACCUUGUAAAUGCCCAUAAAGAUACUAUGGGUGUUUCGCAUCGUAAGAACAACAUACCCCAUCAAAGAUCUAAGGAAGUAUCAAUAAAGGAGACAGAUGGUAUUCAUGGAAGUAGAUAUACAGAGUCUGUGAAGCUAUCACCGGCAUAUCAACUAAUCAAGAAAGAGGAAAGAGAAACUGGGGAUGCAGUUUUCAAGUCUUAUAUGCUUUACCUGCGCCAGAAGAAAGGCUUCCUGUAUUUCUUCUUGUGUAUGAUUUCUCACAUAAUUUUCGUAGCUGGGCAGAUACUACAGAAUUCAUGGAUGGCUGCUAAUGUCCAAAAUCCUCAUGUUAGCACACUGAAGUUUAUUUCUGUGUACAUUAUUAUCGGAGCUUGCACAAUGAUCUUCUUGCUAUCAAGAUCUUUAACAGUCGUUGCUCUUGGGAUCCAGUCAUCAAGAUCCUUAUUUUCCCAGCUACUCAAUUCAUUGUUCCGUGCACCAAUGUCCUUUUUUGAUUCUACACCUCUAGGAAGGGUUCUUAGCCGGGUCUCUUCAGAUUUGAGUAUCGUUGACCUUGAUAUUCCAUUUGCAUUAGUGGUUAGCCUUGGUACCAGCUUAAAUGCAUGUAGCAAUCUAGGGGUAUUGGCUGUUGUUACAUGGCAAGUUCUGUUUGUAUCCGUGCCAAUGAUAGUUUUGGCAAUUAAGUUGCAGAGGUACUAUCUAGCAUCGGCCAAGGAAUUAAUGCGGAUCAAUGGUACUACAAAGUCUGCCCUAGCGAGUCACUUAGGUGAAUCGAUUGCAGGGGCUAUAACGAUAAGGGCCUUUGAGGGAGAAGGUCGUUUCUUUGCUAAAAAUUUGGAUCUUGUUGACAAGAAUGCCAGCCCAUAUUUCUGUAAUUUUGCAGCAACUGAAUGGUUGAUUCAACGUAUAGAAAUAAUGAGCGCCGUAGUUCUUUCUUCUUCCGCCUUUGUCAUGGCUCUUCUUCCUCAAGAAACUUUUAGCCCUGGUUUUGUGGGAAUGGCAUUGUCCUAUGGUCUUUCGCUAAAUACAUCAUUUGUUUCCUUUACUCAAAGCCAGUGCAACCUUGGGAAUCAAAUAAUCUCGGUGGAACGGGUGAGCCAAUACAUGGACAUACCAAGUCAAGCAGCAGAAGUCAUUGAAGACAAUCGACCAUUACCAGAUUGGCCCCAAAAUGGCAAUGUGGAGAUUAGGCAUUUGAAGAUCAGGUAUAGGAUAGAUGCUCCCCUUGUACUACAUGGAAUCACUUGCAAUUUUGAAGGUGGAGAUAAGAUUGGUAUAGUUGGUCGAACAGGAAGUGGCAAGACAACGUUAAUUGGUGCAUUGUUUCGCCUUGUUGAACCUGAUGAAGGGAAAAUAUUUAUAGACUCUGUGGAUAUCAGUAUGAUAGGCUUACAUGAUCUGCGGUCGCGUUUGGGUAUCAUUCCACAAGAUCCAACACUUUUUCAGGGUACAAUAAGAUACAAUCUAGAUCCUCUUGGGCAAUUCUCAGAUGAAAAAAUAUGGGAGGUUCUUGCCAAAUGUCAACUUCUUGAAGCUGUCCAGGAGAAGGAACAGGGACUGGAUUCACAUGUUGUGGAAAGUGGGUCAAACUGGAGCAUGGGCCAAAGGCAGCUCUUCUGCCUGGGACGCGCACUUCUGAGAAGGUGUCGUAUCUUAGUUCUUGAUGAAGCCACAGCGUCUAUAGACAAUGCAACAGAUGUUCUCCUUCAGAAGACGAUCCGGACAGAAUUCAAAUAUUGCACUGUUAUUACAGUUGCCCACCGUAUACCAACAGUUAUGGACUGCGAUAUGGUACUUGCAAUGAGCGACGGGAAAGUAGUGGAGUUUGACAAACCUGCAAAGCUCAUGGAAACUGAAGGGUCUCUCUUCCGCGAGCUGGUCAAGGAGUAUUGGUCAUACACUUCGAACACAAAUAUCUAGAAGAGAUUAUCUCGAAGUAUUGGGCUAUCUCUUGCUACAACAAAUUCUAUGCAGUAUCAUGGUGGGCCAUCGCUGCCCUUUGGAAUUGAUGAAGCAGGCAUUCGAAAGAAACCAGAGCUGGCAAGCAGCGCAGCUCCUCUGUCAAAUCUAACCGCGCUUCCUUACUGAAACACUACCUCACUUCAUGGCCUGCUGGAUUCGCCGAGGUGGGAAAUCAGCCGAUCAAUUGCAGUCACUGACAUGUUGUUUAGUAGCUGUUCCUCUAGUACAUUAUCUGCAGAGACAACUACUGCUUCAGCAAUCUGAGCCGAGAUGUUUGAAAGAGAACCAUUGGUGCUGUACAUUAACAACACAAGAGCUUUCAUCCGGAAGCAAUUAGGUCCUUCAGUUAUUGUCUUGAAAUUUCUUUAGCGAUCUAACCGUCGCUGCACUUUGGAGUUGCUGAAGCUAAACGGAGUAAAUUCCUGAAGAUUUCCUUGCUCCAAUAAAUGGGAGGGACUUCAGAUCUGCAAUCCUGCUGACCAUACUGAUUUGUAUGGUUAAAUGGAAUUGCUUUUGUGGUUAAGAACUGCCAAUUUAUAUUGCGAUGUAAGGUUUGUUUGUACACUGUAUUUUCUUUUACUUUCUUUUAGCUUUCUCUAAACCUUGGAACGCUACAUGUUGUGUUUUCAUUAAUCCAAUGGAACCAUGGAGCGCCUCCCUGAUAAUCUAAAAAAAACAUGAUCUGUUUGAGAUAGGAACUGGGGGCGGUAGUAUAGAUGGGGAUCCAAUACGUUCCCAGUGUGCUGCUGUUUAAUUUAUGGCUAUGAGGAAAGUUUCAA